rnacentral:rRNA from 1 species
AGAGUUUGAUCCUGGCUCAGAUUGAACGCUGGCGGCAUGCUUUACACAUGCAAGUCGAACGGCAGCGCGGGGCAACCUGGCGGCGAGUGGCGAACGGGUGAGUAAUAUAUCGGAACGUACCCAAGAGUGGGGGAUAACGUAGCGAAAGUUACGCUAAUACCGCAUACGAUCCAAGGAUGAAAGCAGGGGAUCUUCGGACCUUGUGCUCCUGGAGCGGCCGAUAUCUGAUUAGCUAGUUGGUGAGGUAAAGGCUCACCAAGGCCACGAUCAGUAGCUGGUCUGAGAGGACGACCAGCCACACUGGAACUGAGACACGGUCCAGACUCCUACGGGAGGCAGCAGUGGGGAAUUUUGGACAAUGGGCGAAAGCCUGAUCCAGCAAUGCCGCGUGAGUGAAGAAGGCCUUCGGGUUGUAAAGCUCUUUUGUCAGGGAAGAAACGGUGAGGGCUAAUAUCCUUCACUAAUGACGGUACCUGAAGAAUAAGCACCGGCUAACUACGUGCCAGCAGCCGCGGUAAUACGUAGGGUGCAAGCGUUAAUCGGAAUUACUGGGCGUAAAGCGUGCGCAGGCGGUUUUGUAAGUCUGACGUGAAAUCCCCGGGCUCAACCUGGGAAUUGCGUUGGAGACUGCAAGGCUAGAAUCUGGCAGAGGGGGGUAGAAUUCCACGUGUAGCAGUGAAAUGCGUAGAGAUGUGGAGGAACACCGAUGGCGAAGGCAGCCCCCUGGGUCAAGAUUGACGCUCAUGCACGAAAGCGUGGGGAGCAAACAGGAUUAGAUACCCUGGUAGUCCACGCCCUAAACGAUGUCUACUAGUUGUCGGGUUUUAAUUAACUUGGUAACGCAGCUAACGCGUGAAGUAGACCGCCUGGGGAGUACGGUCGCAAGAUUAAAACUCAAAUGAAUUGACGG